UAAUACGUAGGGGGCUAGCGUUGUCCGGAUUUAUUGGGCGUAAAGAGCGUGUAGGCGGCCAGAUAGGUCUGCUGUGAAAACUCGAGGCUCAACCUCGAGCUGUCGGCGGAAACCAUUUGGCUAGAGUCCGGAAGAGGAAAGUGGAAUUCCUGGUGUAGCGGUGAAAUGCGCAGAUAUCAGGAAGAACACCCGUGGCGAAGGCGGCUUUCUGGGACGGUACUGACGCUGAGACGCGAAAGCGUGGGGAGCGAACAGGAUUAGAUACCCUGGUAGUCCACGCUGUAAACGA
rnacentral:rRNA from 1 species